CUGGAGGAAGAAAGCGGGUUUUAUGUUUAGAUCAAAAAUGGUAGAAAUCCAUGAUAUAUCUUCAUCUACUGACAAAGAGACAUUAUUAGUGAACCACAUUGUUACUGGAAGCAAUGGAACUGAUCAUAACAUUGACAUACCAUCAAAAGGGAGAGUUUCUGAUGAUGAUGAUGAAAUCUACAAUUUCUACAAAGAAUAUGCUAAAAAACUAGGGUUUCCUGUACACAGAAGAGCGAAAAAAGAGAAAUGAUGAUGGAUGUGUCUUUUGGUUGUGCAAGAGGAGGUAAACAUCAAACAAAAGCUGUAAACCCAAGAGGGAGUAUGGAAACUGGAUUUGGGGCUUAUAUUGCAUGUUGAAGGCGACAAGGGGAUGGGAAAUGGGGUUAUGUCAGUAGUUAAGUUGGAGCAUAAUCAUAAGUGUAAUCUGGAGGAUGUGAAAUCCUAUAAGUGUUUUGAACCAGUUUGUAGUAGUGCGCGGCGGAUUGAUCUUAAUGGUGGGGGUCGACUGCGAAAAAGAAGAAGGCGAAAAUAGCGGUUCAAAAUGAGGGUGUAGGAUGUGCCGAAAUGGUUGCUGAGCAAAAUGCAAUUGGUGAAGGAAGACGUCUACGGAUUGGCAAGGGAGAUGUGGAAGGGCUUUUGAAAUUUUUUGUGAAGAUGAAUGGUGAAAACUCGGGAUUUUAUUGGCAAGCUGAAUUUUUUGCAAGACAACCAAUGGUUGAAGGAUUUGUUUGAAGAAAGGAGUCGCCGGGUACCAUGUUAUCUGAAGGACACAUUUUGGGCAGGAAUGUAUCGAACACUCAAAGAAGUGAAGGAAGUAACGUGUUUUUCGACGGGUAUAUAGAUACAAGGUCUUCAAUUAAACAGUUGGUGGAGCAAUACGAAGUUGCGUUAAGGAAGAAUGUGGAGAAGGAAAAGGAAAAGUUAGCGGAUGAUGCGAUCGUCUCUAAAAACUAUUCCCUUGGUAACUACUUACCCUAUGGAGAAACAGAUACAAAAAAGGUAUACUAACUCAAAAUUUAAAGAAUUUCAAGUUGAGUUAUUACCAAUGUUGUAUUGUAACUUCGCCAAGAUUGAAAAAACACCCACCCGUACGAUCUACAUCAUCCAAGAAGACGUGUAUAUUGAGGAUUUUCGUAAAAAGAUGACUUUUCAUGUGGCAUAUAAUUCAGAAGAAUGUGAUGUUCUUGUCAGAAGUUUAUAGUUGACGGAAUUCAAUGCAGCCAUGCUCUAAGUGUAUUGUGUCAUAACGGUGUAAGAAAACUCACAGAUAAAUACAUCUUGAGAUGGUGGCGGAAAAACGUGAUAAGAGCUCAUACAAAGGUUAAAGUGGGUUAUAGUUGCUGGACUAAUCAUGAGGCGACUAAGCGUUACCAUGAUUUGUGUACUAAAUUUGCUGAGCUUGCUGCUUUGGCAGCAAAUGAUGAGACUCUUUAUUGCGAUAUCCUCAACUGGUUGGACUGUAAAAAAAAACGGAACUGCAACAGACAGUAUGAAAGCUAAGAAAAGCAAAAUACUCAAUGGAAAACAACUUGGAAGAAAAUGUAGAGGAGAUAAAGAUCGUGAAAGUGAAGAAGGUGGUAAAACGUAGCUGCGUUGUUCUCUUCAAUUUAAAAUACAAUUAAAAGGUAGGCAAACGGUAUCAAAUGUAAGAAUGUAAACUGAAAAGUGGUGGUGGGAUCAAGAAACCUCCUCCUUUGUUGCAGACCACGGUAAUGUAUGGUUACUUUGCUGCUGCUUUCACUUUCAAUUCGAUUUUGUGUUUAUCAAUUACAAUUAACAAAGAUGUCCUAUGAUAAUAUGAUCUUAGUAACGACUUUACUUUCUUCCAUUUCGGUCCAAAUUCUUGUUCGGGUAGAGAUUUUUAGGACUUAAUGAAUCCCGAAAGCUAAUGUGAGAUAACUGAGCAGGACUCUUGAUCCCAAAUUUAGGUUUGGAAGCAAGAAAUCACCCCCAGUUAGAUUAACUUUCAAAUUACUUUAAUAUGGUCUUUCUUAACCUUUAUGAAUUACAAGCACUCUCCAUCUCCAGCAGCUGUAUAACCUGUUGCCAAGGAUCUGCGAUUCCACAUUUUCGUCAAUUGUUACUUUUCUGCAAUAACGUUGUUUUUGCUUGUUUAUAUGUUCAAACUAUACAUUCUAAAUUCAACAGUAGAUCUUAUAUUUCUUUCCUAUCUUAUGAAUUUAAGUUUUCAUUCUACUUUCAUCCUUCAUGUGUAUCACUCACUCUAUAGAUUGUUUACUUAGUUUCAUGUAAGUAAGCAAUAAUUUGUACCCCAUUAGUCGUGGAAUAGAUAAUACUUCCAAGGCCUUAGUUAGUUGUGCUUUGUGAAAAGCGUAACAGAUUGGAUUCCACUUGAGAAGUACCUAGAACCAUUUUUCAGAUCUCAAGACAAAUAUUGUUUAGGUUAUAUCUUCGAUUCAUUUAUUGAACUGAGUACGACGACUAUUUUUAUUCACAGAAUCACAAAUAGGGAACUGGAAUUCUAUUGGAUGGGCUUUCUGUAACUGGAAUUUGUUCAACUUUAUCAAGUUCAAGUAAUUAUACAUCUGCAUGUCGUAUCAAUAGUUAUUAAUUCCUUGACAGUGGCCUAUACUUUCAGCCAACGUAUUUUCCAAUAGUUGUACUACAACUGCUUCUAGUUUCUUUCUUGAAGUAUGUUGGGGUGCAAACCAUUUGAAAUAGGCUUGGUUAGCUAGCAUCCAAGUGUUAUUUAGACGAAAUUACUGGUAGUGGUGGACCCAGUAUAGGCAUCGGGUGGCAAUUGCCCCACCUCCAUUGCAUAUCCUGGCUCCGCUACUGCUUGUAGUUUUCCCUAAGUUUCUCUCGUACAAAUGCAGAUGAAUAUAGAGAAGCUUCAGAAGAUGGCUGGUGCGAUGUGCAUUGGUGGAAAUGGAAGCGUUAGAAGGUCUACUGGAUUCUUCUUUGGUUUUCUUUUCUCCCUAUUUUUUUUAUUAUCUUUAUUGUGUUGCUGUGUGCUCGACUAUUCUGGUCCUUAGUAUAAUUCUGGACUUAUUCUUCAAAAAGAAUGUUAUUUUUCCGCCAUCACCUGGAUUAUAUAAUCUAUUGUUAUGAUAAUUCAUAACAAGAAUGCAUCUGACAACAGGAAUAUAUUCUUGCUUGUUCAUGCAAGUGUUAUGACGUUUUCUGUAUUUUUUUCAUUGCUAACCUAGGGGAAUGGACUUGCACUCGGUGUUCACAUUUCAACUGUUGAAAGUACUACGGAUUAUCGCAGUUCACCGUUGUUCUUUUUCUCGAAAUUCUAUAGCUAUGGCCAGGAAUAGCUUGGCUUGUUUUAUUAGUUUUUGGGUGGGAUUUUUAUCAUCUAUCCUGGUGUUCUCUUUGGGUUAUCACAGGAUGGGUGAUCGUUUGGCUUAUCACUUAUUCUUUUUUGCUCUCUUCACUUCGCGUUGAAUUAACAAUAUAUCACUGAUGAUGCCAGCCUGUCAUUUAACUCAUUUUUUUUUUUGAAAUCAAUUUUUUAUCACUAAAACAGUAAUAGACCGGAUUAAAGGAGAUGAAAGUGGCUUUAGGGGCAAUUGCCCCCUCCUCCCAGACCUUAGUUGCCUUGAGGAGACCAUAGUGUUUUUUUAAGGGGCAGUUGCCCCCAUACCUAAGCUAGCCAAAGGAAACAGAUAGUGCAAUAAUGAUGCAAACAGAUAGUGUUAUAAUGUUGCAAUUUGCACCAUUAUUUGCACUAUCCUGUCUCCACCCCUGGGGUUGAGCAAUUUUUUUUUUUACUGUUAGCCUUCAAAACGAUGUUUGCUGAUGAGGCUAAAUUUGUCGCUUUUCAGAGGCAAUGUAAAUUAGAGAGGAACCUUGAUGUUUAAAGCGUUUUGUUAUGAGCUUAUGAUUGUUUUUUAGGUCUGUUUCUUACAUAAAUUAUCUUGGUUUGUUUUUCCAUCCCAAAUGAUUGCAGUUCAAGUCUUGCAAGGAAGUUGUUCCGUAUUUGCUCUCUCUUUCAGAACCUCAAGAUGUUUAGCAUCCAAACAAUGUUAAUAGUUCUGAGGACAUGGAUGGGGUGCAUAACUUAGCUUCUGGAAGUGAAAGCCAAGUUGUUUGAGUAGAGUUAGUUUAAAUCCAAUUAAGCAUAUCUUUAUCUCUUUGAGAUUAUGUGAUUUACUCUCUUGGGAGCAGCAAGAGAAAAGAAGAAAAUCUGCUGGCUUUCAUGGGCUAAGAUUUGCAGACCCAAGGAAAGCGGUCGUUUGGAAAUAAGAAAUCUCAGGCUAACCAAUCAAGCUCUAUUAGCAAAAUGGUGAUGGCUAUAAUGAGGAGAAGAUGGCUCUCUGGAGAAUGGUGGUGCUAACUCAACAGGCUGAUGAGAUAUCUUGCAAAUUUGCUAAACAAGAACUUAAAUUUUGAACUAAAGAUCUUUAUGCAUGGCUCUGCAGUCAGCAAUUGUGUUCUAACCAAUCUCUUCAGAGGAGGGUGUGCCAAUCACUUCUGCUAGAUGCUCUCUCUGUGUUAAAGAUGAAGAAUCUGUCAGCCAUAUAUUCCUCCAUAUAUUCCUUCAAAGAUCUGGAACUACUUGAUGGAUAGUUGUGAGCUGGGCUGGGUAAUAGGUGCUGAUUUGCCGUUGGAGCUUGGAAGCACAAGAGAGGGGAAAAUAAAGGUAUGGAAAUCUGGCCAUUACUAUUUUUGCUGUCAUUUGGGUAGAAAGAACAGAAGAGUAAUGACUAGAAAGAAUGGCAGGAAGGAGGAUGACAUUACCAAUGAAGUGUUUGGAGUGCUACUCGAAAUCUUUUUAGAACAGUGUUGUUUAGUUAACUAAUUUCACACUGGGAUACUGUUCUUGAAAUUGAGACUAAGUCAGGAUUGUUGGGUUUGUCCAAUGGAAGUGGGCUUUCUUGUAAUGCAAAGCACGUUGUAUUGAUUCUGAUGCCUUCGUAAGUUUAAAUGGUUGUUCUGUUUGGUGUUUUGUUCUCAAAUUAGUUUUUUGAAAUUA